rnacentral:lncRNA from 1 species
CCUGGAACCAGGAAAAACAAAGAUUCAGAGGCGAUUUGAGAGUGUGAAGAUGAUUUGAAGAGCCAGACGUUUUUUCUCUCAGAUCUAACACAGGAGCAGAUUUUCAAAAACACAGGUUCUACAAACUGCCUGUCUUUGAUAUCCAGGAGGAGCUCAUCUGGAAUGCAAAGGAGCUAGUACAAGAAGCACCUUCCUUCCUGGGUGGUGAGACCAGCCCCGUGCACUUAGCGAGUGGAUUUUAAAUAUAAAGAGAUUUGUGUCCAGUUAUCUAGGUGGCCACUGGAAUGACAGUAAUUCACACCAAACCACAUAAGGAGGAAACAUCAUCCAUCUUCAUUUUUUAGAAAAAAAAAAAGCAGCUUUAGAAAACCAGAUAACUAGCCCUCAAUCAAUUCCGAGUCAGCAGAUCUAUUUACUCUCUUCUGAUGCUGUGUCACUCGAUUGAGUCUUGCUGGCUCCGUCAGGAUUUUUCCAACAUGCGUUGUCAUGGAUCAAAACCUUCCAGCAACUGUCCUUUGUCUCUCAAAAUAGUGUCUUUUCUCAAUCCAUGAAGUAAGGCAUGUCUCACUCAGGAUCUGCUCAACUGAUUUUGAAAAAGAUGCCAAAAUUCUUUUUUCUCUUUUUUUUUAGAGACAGAGUCUCACUCUGCCACCCAGGCUGGAGUGCAGUGGCACAAUCUUGGCUUACUGCAGCCUCAAAUUCCUGGGCUCAAGAGGAGUAGCUACUCAGCCUCCUGAGUAGCUGAACACAGGCAUGUGCCACUCUGCCCAGCUAAUGUAGAGACAGGGUCUUACCAUAUUGCCCAGGCUGUUCUCUAAAUUCUGGACUCAAGCAAUCUUCUCACAUAGGCCUCCCAAGUGCUGGGAUUGCAGGCAUGAGCCACUGUGCCUGGCCUGCAAAAGCUCUUUACUUUGAAAGCACAUUGAAAUUGUUCUGUACUUGGCAGCGGUGGUUACACAGCUGUAUAUUGCCAUCAACAUUCAUGGAUCUAUACACCAAAGAGUGAAUUUGACUGUAUGCAAGUGAUGUUUCCAUUUAAGUAAGAGUCAAAGGAAAAAAAAAUGAAAUACUGAAAUUUCUGUCUGGACACGGAAGGCUUAAAAAAUAGGAGCGUCUAUCCUCUCUGAGUAUCUGCCUAAGUUUUCGAGGGAAAACAUGAAUGAGCCAAUUAAAGAUCUCAUUUCUAGGUGACUGACAAAUCACAUUUGAGUUACUCAACUAGUUCUGGUUUGGGGAUUGGUGAGUUUCACUGUAUCAAGCUGUGACUCUGUUUAACCCAAGUAUUCCCUCGAGGCCAAUCUUGGCUGUCUCUCUUCAAGCUGAAAUUGAGAGGCUUUGCGAGUGGCCCUAUAAACACGCUAAUGAAUGAAUGGACAACUAAUUACCUUGUAAAUAUGCAUGAAUAAGCACAGGCCUCAGAUGCCUCUGCAGUAAGCCAAAUGUCUCGGCGCCCCCUUGCUACUUACUUGUGCAUGAGAAAACGUGUGAUAUUCCUACGGUGGAAGCUCAGGCCUCUCAUUCUCAGAGGCAAAUCUUUCAAUGUUGGUGGAAAAGGUCCUGGUAUAGGACACUUUAAAAGACACAUUAAUAAAAAUAACAGACAAAUGUAGCCAUGAAGAAUAACCCAUCAUCCACGUUCCUACACCCCCAUAAAAGAGUAAACUAACCUCUUGAUUAAAUUUUUCCAGCAAGGAGGCCCUUUUUUUAUUUUAAACUUGUUUUUAAAUAGUUUUUUUUUCUCCUUUGUUUAUAUAUUGUAGGUCACAGUGAUUCCCCUUAGUGCUCAAAGAUUGCAGGGCUUUAAAAGCCCUUAAGGGGCCAGGCACAGUGGCUCACGCCUGUAAUCCCAACAUUUUGGGAGGCUGAGGCAGGAGGAUCACCUGAGGUCAGGAGUUCAAGGCCAGCCUGACCAACAUGGUGAAACCCCAUCUCUACUAAAAAUACAAAAUUAGCCAGGCAUGGAGGCGCAGGCCUGCAAUCGCAGCUACUCAGGAGGCUGAGGCAGGAGAAUCACUCAAACCCAGGAGGCAGAGGUUGAAGUGAACUGAGACUGCCCCAUUGCACUCCAGCCUGGGCCACAAGAGGGCAACUUCAUCUCAAAAAGAAAAGCCCUUAAGGAUGACACUGCUUCCUGUCCUAGGAACAUGAGCAUCAAACUACAAAAACCAGUGUCGAGGGGGGAUUUGGCUGGUCCCUGGAAAAUGCAUUCCCAUGAGAGGCUUGCUGGAGAACAGCACCCUUGGCAGGCAUUUGUAGACUUAUCCUGGGCCAGAGAGACUCAUCCAAUCUGGUGUGUUGAAUCUGUUCAUAGUAUAAUUGGCGUCAAUUAUAAUAACUAGAGUGACAUCCCACAUCCAUCCUUUGGUGAAUGAGCCAACUUCAGCAAGUUAUUUAGCCUCCUGGGUCUUCAGUUUACUCAUCUGUCUUAUGGGACUAAUAAAAACUACCUUGUAGAGUUGUUAGGAAGAUUAAAUUUGACAAUGUAUAGGAAGUGCCCAGUUCAGUGUCUAGUAUAUAGCAAGUAUUUGAUAAGUAAUAUUUAUUAUUAUGAUGAGAUGGAGUCUCCCUCUAUUGCCCAGGGUGGAGUACAGUGGCACAAUCUUGCCUCAGUGCAACUUCCGCCUCCUGGGUUCAAGUGAUUCUCCUGCCUCAGCCUCCCGAGUAGCUGGGAGUACGGGCACGUGCCACUAUGCCUGGCUAGUUUUUUUUUUUUUUUUUUUUUUUUUUUUGGAUUUUUAGUAGAGAUGGAGUUUCACCAUAUUGGCCAGACUGGUCUCAAACUCCUGACCUCAUGAUCCACCCACCUCGGCUUCCCAAAGUGCUGGGAUUACAGGCGUGAGCCACCGCGCCCGGCCAAUAUUUAUUAGUAGUAGUAUUAAUAAGGCCCACCGGAAGAGUAAACUAAUUUUGUCUCAUUACAGUUUACACUCAAUCUAGUCUAGACAUGGGCUAAUUUCAGUGGGGGCAACAUUUCCCUAAAUAGCAGUUGGAGCUGGUCCUACUCUCAGAACUGAGACAAGGACCAGUAGACACUAGACUCCCUUAGGAGCACUCAGGAGCUUCCUAGACUCUCUUAGGAGCACUCAGGAGCUUCCUAUUUCCAGUCUUAUUUUUUCCACUGGUCUAUGCUCAGGACUGAACCUAGGCAAUAAGCUGUUAUGAAACUAGGGCAACGUUACUUGAUAUCUAAUAGAUAAAAGCAAGAGCUGGUGAGUCCUUCAAAACAGUGCUUCCCACAGCCUGGCCCACAGAACAGGCACCAUGCAAGAUACCCCUCAAACGCAAUAGACCAAAGGAAAGUAGGUUUAAGAAACUCUCAAGGCCACAUAAUCCAAUGGAUUUCUUUACUGCAGAAUAUUUCAGUGCUGGAAUUCAUUGUGAAGUUCAUAUUAAUUCAACACCCAUGAACAUCAUAUACAUUAGGAAUUUUUUUAAAUCACAGGUUCAUGGAUAUGUUAGAUACCAUCUAAUCAAAUCACCUCCUCAAUGCAUUCAUUCUGUGAUAACAUCCUGAUAAACAAUGACCAAUUUCACUGUUGGUGACGGAACUUAGUACAUCGCUAUGAAGUAGAUUCCAUGUGUAAUGGUGCUAAAAUUACAGGAAACUUCUUCCUUAUGUUGAAACAGCUUCUGUCUCUUCUCAAGUUUUUACUCAUACGUACUUUCUGUCAUAUGUAUUUUGUCUUUUGGUGCCAUCCAGCAUGCAACUACAAGCCACAUUCCUUCCAGGACUUGAAAUUCCCAAGGGUUUUCUUUUGAGGCUAAACAUUUUCUUCGACUGUUCAGUUCACUGGUAUUUUUAAUUUCCAGACACAGCAUUGUUCUUGUUAACAACUGCUGGAUGUACUCUAGCUUUAUCCAUGUCCUUUCAAAUAUUCCUACGUGUAAACUGAACUCAUCAGUGCAAAGUAUGGAAAGACAAUCACCUUCCUUGCUUUGCACAGUAUACAUCUAUAAACAUGGUCAAAGGUUACAGUCGCUCCUUAGGCGGGCCCCAUGGUGUGUGACGUCAAUUCACAUCCUGAUGUUGCUUUUUAUAUGAACUUCUGCUAUGAAGCCACAUCUCACAAGACCUGUAGUCAUGCAGUUGAACUUUGAAUCUGAAUACUGGGAUUUGAAUUACCUUUAUUGCACUUCACUUCAUCUGAACUCAGCCUUCUCCCCUGUUGUGAUUUUUCUUUAGAACACUGGCUCUAAUAGCCAAUGUGUUAGUUCUCUCCCGCUUUGCAUACUGGAAGGUAUGAUUUCUAUUUUUUCCUGUAAGUGAUCGAUUAUACAAUUUUAAAAAAGGAUAACAGGGCCUGGUUUAAAAUUUUAAAGAGAUAACAGGGCCUCCAGGUUGGGAAUGAUUAUGAAAUGAGGGUAAUUCUCCCAAGUUACCAAAAGUUGUUGAUCACGGUUAUUCAACAAACUAUGUUCCACUAGCCAGUCCACAUUUCUUCACUGAGUCUUCGAAGAUAUAUAAGUGAAUUUGUCAACAUCCUGGAUUUGCUGAAAUCUGAGCUGUUGCCUUCAUCCACUGAUAUAGCAUUUAUUUAUUUAUUUUUGAGACGGACUCUCGCUCUGUCGCCCAGGCUAGAGUACGAUGGCGUGAUCUCAGCUCACUGCAAC